rnacentral:misc_RNA from 1 species
GGAUGAUGGACGCGAAAGAGAGCUCACUGACUCUGUUGAAUUGUUCUGGGUUACUUGUGGUCAAUCUGAUGAAAAGACUAAUCUAAUUGAGGAAGUUUCUUGGUUGGAUUAUGGCCACCGAGGGAUGCAGGUUUGGUAUCCAUCUCCGGGUGUUGAUCCUUUUAAGCAGGAGGAUUUUCUGCAGUUGGACCCAGAGCUGGAAUUUGAUCGGGG